rnacentral:rRNA from 1 species
UACGUAGGGUGCGAGCGUUAAUCGGAAUUACUGGGCGUAAAGCGUGCGCAGGCGGUGAGGCAAGGUCGAUGGGAAAGCCCCGGGCUUAACCUGGGAAUUGCAUUGAGGACUGGCGUGCUCGAGUGCGGCAGAGGGGGGUGGAAUUCCACGUGUAGCAGUGAAAUGCGUAGAGAUGUGGAGGAACACCGAUGGCGAAGGCAGCCCCCUGGGCCGACACUGACGCUCAUGCACGAAAGCGUGGGGAGCAAACAGG